rnacentral:rRNA from 1 species
UACGAAGGGGGCUAGCGUUGCUCGGAAUCACUGGGCGUAAAGGGUGCGUAGGCGGGUCUUUAAGUCAGGGGUGAAAUCCUGGAGCUCAACUCCAGAACUGCCUUUGAUACUGAGGAUCUUGAGUUCGGGAGAGGUGAGUGGAACUGCGAGUGUAGAGGUGAAAUUCGUAGAUAUUCGGAAGAACACCAGUGGCGAAGGCGACUUACUGGACACAUAUUGACGCUGAGGUGCGAAAGCGUGGGGAGCGAACAGG